rnacentral:rRNA from 1 species
GUAGUCCGCGCUGUAAACGAUGGAUGCUAGCCGUUGGGGGGUUACCCCUCAGUGGCGUAGCUAACGCGUUAAGCAUCCCGCCUGGGGAGUACGGUCGCAAGAUUAAAACUCAAAGGAAUUGACGGGGACCCGCACAAGCGGUGGAACAUGUGGUUUAAUUCGAGGCAACGCGAAGAACCUUACCAGGGUUUGACAUGCUCUCUAUGGAUUCCUGAAAGGGAAUCCUUCAGUUCGGCUGGGAGAUGCACAGGUGCUGCAUGGCUGUCGUCAGCUCGUGUCGUGAGAUGUUGGGUUAAGUCCCGCAACGAGCGCAACCCUCAUCCUCUGUUGCUAACAGGUUAAGCUGAGCACUCUGAGGAAACUGCCGGUGAUAAGCCGGA